rnacentral:rRNA from 1 species
CCUACGGGUUGCACCAGUGGGGAAUAUUGCACAAUGGGCGCAAGCCUGAUGCAGCCAUGCCGCGUGUAUGAAGAAGGCCUUCGGGUUGUAAAGUACUUUCAGCGGGGAGGAAGGUGUUGUGGUUAAUAACCGCAGCAAUUGACGUUACCCGCAGAAGAAGCACCGGCUAACUCCGUGCCAGCAGCCGCGGUAAUACGGAGGGUGCAAGCGUUAAUCGGAAUUACUGGGCGUAAAGCGCACGCAGGCGGUCUGUCAAGUCGGAUGUGAAAUCCCCGGGCUCAACCUGGGAACUGCAUUCGAAACUGGCAGGCUAGAGUCUUGUAGAGGGGGGUAGAAUUCCAGGUGUAGCGGUGAAAUGCGUAGAGAUCUGGAGGAAUACCGGUGGCGAAGGCGGCCCCUUGGACAAAGACUGACGCUCAGGUGCGAAAGCGUGGGGAGCAAACAGGAUUAGAUACCCCAGUAGUC